rnacentral:lncRNA from 1 species
UACAAGUCCCGUGAAGCUGCACCGCCCGCCCGCCGCCAGCGGGGCUUUAUAAGCGGGGAAAUGGCCCGGACGCCGCAGUCGGAGCAUCUCUGGGCGUUGUGGUAAUGGUUCUGUUCGGGCACGGAGCGGCGGCGAUGCCGGACGGAUCCCCCUCCGUUCGCCUCUCCUCCUCCGAGCAUCGCGGGGUCGUCCCCUCCGGGAGAUGUGAGUGCGGAUGAUGGUGGCGGGGUGAUGCGGCGGCUGGGAGGCGGCCCGCUGAGGUUUUGGUAACUGCCAUCGCUGAUGGGUGGGUGGAUGCGAUGGCUGUUGGAGUGUCCUUUGUACCUGGAAGAGAGAAGGCACAAUCAGCCUGACCAUGUGUGGGUUUGAGACUUCUCACCUUCGGCCAAGGAAGGAGGAUUCAUCUUGGGAUGCCUUCUGUCUGCUGGGAUCUCACACCUGGAGCCCUCUUGGACUGCUGUGGGUUUUGGAUGCGCCCUUCUGUCUAUAGCUGGGAAUGUGUGCUGCUGCCAGGUGCCCACAGACACCUGCUCCUCUAAACCUGCUGGAUUAUUUCUUUUGGCAUCACUCAGCCAGCCC